AUGCUUAUGUUUGUGACAUUCAUGUGGCAUCUCAUUCAGAUAGAUUUUAUUAUGUAUUUCUGUAUCAUGCAUGUUUAUUUUCUUCUUUUGGUUCAUAAAUGUCAUGAUUGUUGGAUACACAUGCAGAAAUUCAUAGAGUUUUUGUUCUCGGAGAAUUUUAUUGGGAUCCACAGUCCAAAGUUGAUUGGUGGAUCAAGGGAAGGUGGUGCAUUUGCAUUCAAGCUGGAGUACAAUGGCCAGUCUACUUGUUUAGCGUAA
rnacentral:rRNA from 1 species